UCCACUCCGGGAUAAGCCUGGGAAACCGGGUCUAAUACCGGAUACGACCGCCUCGCGCAUGCGGGGUGGUGGAAAGCGUCUAGUGGUGGGGGAUGGGCUCGCGGCCUAUCAGCUUGUUGGUGGGGUAGUGGCCUACCAAGGCGACGACGGGUAGCCGGCCUGAGAGGGCGACCGGCCACACUGGGACUGAGACACGGCCCAGACUCCUACGGGAGGCAGCAGUGGGGAAUCUUGCGCAAUGGGCGGAAGCCUGACGCAGCGACGCCGCGUGGGGGAUGACGGCCUUCGGGUUGUAAACCUCUUUCAGCAGGGACGAAGUUGGACGUGUACCUGCAGAAGAAGCGCCGGCUAACUACGUGCCAGCAGCCGCGGUAAUACGUAGGGCGCGAGCGUUGUCCGGAAUUAUUGGGCGUAAAGAGCUCGUAGGUGGCUGGUCGCGUCUGCCGUGAAAGCCCAUGGCUUAACUGUGGGUCUGCGGUGGAUACGGGCCGGCUUGAGGUAGGUAGGGGCAAGCGGAAUUCCUGGUGUAGCGGUGAAAUGCGCAGAUAUCAGGAGGAACACCGGUGGCGAAGGCGGCUUGCUGGGCCUAUCCUGACGCUGAGGAGCG
rnacentral:rRNA from 1 species